GGAUGGAUGCCCGAGUGGUUUAAGGGACCGGUCUUGAAAACCGGCGUACUGAAAGGUACCGUGGGUUCGAAUCCCUCUCCAUCCG
rnacentral:tRNA from 1 species